AUUGAACGCUGGCGGCAGGCCUAACACAUGCAAGUCGAUCGGAUGAAGGGAGCUUGCUCCUGGAUUCAGCGGCGGACGGGUGAGUAAUGCCUAGGAAUCUGCCUGGUAGUGGGGGACAACGUUUCGAAAGGAACGCUAAUACCGCAUACGUCCUACGGGAGAAAGCAGGGGACCUUCGGGCCUUGCGCUAUCAGAUGAGCCUAGGUCGGAUUAGCUAGUUGGUGAGGUAAUGGCUCACCAAGGCGACGAUCCGUAACUGGUCUGAGAGGAUGAUCAGUCACACUGGAACUGAGACACGGUCCAGACUCCUACGGGAGGCAGCAGUGGGGAAUAUGGGACAAUGGGCGAAAGCCUGAUCCAGCCAUGCCGCGUGUGUGAAGAAGGUCUUCGGAUUGUAAAGCACUUUAAGUUGGGAGGAAGGGUUGUAGAUUAAUACUCUGCAAUUUUGACGUUACCGACAGAAUAAGCACCGGCUAACUCUGUGCCAGCAGCCGCAGUAACAC
rnacentral:rRNA from 1 species